GAAUUUUUACACGACAUUAAAAGCAGACACACGACGCUGCUGACAGAGUUUUUGAUUUCGUACUUUUAUUAAAAUCUUUUGUUUUGUGGAAAUAACACUUAUCUGCCUACACUUGUUCUCUUGCUUGUCGCCGAAUUUACCUUGUGACGACUCCCGGUUUGUUUUCCGCCACUUUUAACUCCCAUGUUCCAGUCAGGAACAACACAGAUGUUUGCUGCCAUGGCCAUAGCAUCAACAGUGCCUCUGUUGGGGUUCUUGGAUCAUAAGCAUGAUGUGCAGAAGCCACCACAACACUAUGGACUAUGUGAUGGAAUUUUAAUAUCUAGAUGUUUCAAAGUUCUAGGACGAGUUUUACCGUCAGACUGGAAGAAUCUGCCAGAAAGAGGAUCGCACUCCGAUGAAGGAAGAAUACCAGAAUACAAACAGCUCAAGGCUAAACUGCGUUUGCUGGAAGUCCCCCUCAGCAAACAGGAAGUCACCAAAACCGUGUGAGAGGAAGUGGAAACUCCCAGAGACUGCCUCCACCCUGAAACUCUGCAUGAGAAAAGAGCUUUCUGUGUUGAGAGGAGAGGAAGAGUUACAGAAAGAAACGUGUUGAGCUCCGGCGAAGCGCCCGGCCGGCCGGCGAGGAGCCAAGAAGACGGAGCAGCAGGAGGAGGAGAAGGUGGAGGAGCUGAUCUUCAGCGUGGAGCUUUCUGUGACGUGCUAAGAUGCUGAGCGGCUCAGUAAUGCUCACGGCCUGGACUCCGCUCCUCCUCCAAAAUGCUCCAGUCCCAGAUCCAGCCCAGGACCAAGACUAGGCUGUAUGUAAGCCAUUGAGAGGAUGAACUACCCAUCCAUCCAUCUUCAUCCGCUUAUCCGGGAUCUGGUCAUGGGGCAGCAGCUUCAGCAGGGAACCCCAAACUUCUCUUUCCCGAGCCACGUUAACCAGCUC